AGAGUUUGAUCAUGGCUCAGAUUGAACGCUGGCGGCAGGCCUAACACAUGCAAGUCGAACGGUAACAGGAAGAAGCUUGCUUCUUUGCUGACGAGUGGCGGACGGGUGAGUAAUGUCUGGGAAACUGCCUGAUGGAGGGGGAUAACUACUGGAAACGGUAGCUAAUACCGCAUAACGUCGCAAGACCAAAGAGGGGGACCUUCGGGCCUCUUGCCAUCGGAUGUGCCCAGAUGGGAUUAGCUAGUAGGUGGGGUAACGGCUCACCUAGGCGACGAUCCCUAGCUGGUCUGAGAGGAUGACCAGCCACACUGGAACUGAGACACGGUCCAGACUCCUACGGGAGGCAGCAGUGGGGAAUAUUGCACAAUGGGCGCAAGCCUGAUGCAGCCAUGCCGCGUGUAUGAAGAAGGCCUUCGGGUUGUAAAGUACUUUCAGCGGGGAGGAAGGGAGUAAAGUUAAUACCUUUGCUCAUUGACGUUACCCGCAGAAGAAGCACCGGCUAACUCCGUGCCAGCAGCCGCGGUAAUACGGAGGGUGCAAGCGUUAAUCGGAAUUACUGGGCGUAAAGCGCACGCAGGCGGUUUGUUAAGUCAGAUGUGAAAUCCCCGGGCUCAACCUGGGAACUGCAUCUGAUACUGGCAAGCUUGAGUCUCGUAGAGGGGGGUAGAAUUCCAGGUGUAGCGGUGAAAUGCGUAGAGAUCUGGAGGAAUACCGGUGGCGAAGGCGGCCCCCUGGACGAAGACUGACGCUCAGGUGCGAAAGCGUGGGGAGCAAACAGGAUUAGAUACCCUGGUAGUCCACGCCGUAAACGAUGUCGACUUGGAGGUUGUGCCCUUGAGGCGUGGCUUCCGGAGCUAACGCGUUAAGUCGACCGCCUGGGGAGUACGGCCGCAAGGUUAAAACUCAAAUGAAUUGACGGGGGCCCGCACAAGCGGUGGAGCAUGUGGUUUAAUUCGAUGCAACGCGAAGAACCUUACCUGGUCUUGACAUCCACGGAAGUUUUCAGAGGUGAGAAUGUGCCUUCGGGAACCGUGAGACAGGUGCUGCAUGGCUGUCGUCAGCUCGUGUUGUGAAAUGUUGGGUUAAGUCCCGCAACGAGCGCAACCCUUAUCCUUUGUUGCCAGCGGUCCGGCCGGGAACUCAAAGGAGACUGCCAGUGAUAAACUGGAGGAAGGUGGGGAUGACGUCAAGUCAUCAUGGCCCCUUACGACCAGGGCUACACACGUGCUACAAUGGCGCAUACAAAGAGAAGCGACCUCGCGAGAGCAAGCGGACCUCAUAAAGUGCGUCGUAGUCCGGAUUGGAGUCUGCAACUCGACUCCAUGAAGUCGGAAUCGCUAGUAAUCGUGGAUCAGAAUGCCACGGUGAAUACGUUCCCGGGCCUUGUACACACCGCCCGUCACACCAUGGGAGUGGGUUGCAAAAGAAGUAGGUAGCUUAACCUUCGGGAGGGCGCUUACCACUUUGUGAUUCAUGACUGGGGUGAAGUCGUAACAAGGUAACCGUAGGGGAACCUGCGGUUG
rnacentral:rRNA from 1 species